AUUGAACGCUAGCGGCAGGCCUAACACAUGCAAGUCGAGCGAACGGCGGACGUGUUAUUACUGUAUGGGGCUCUGCCCGAUAGAUGGGGAUAACUACUGGAAACGGUUGCUAAUACCGCAUACUAUCGGCUAAACCCAUCUGGGAUUAGCUAGUAGGUGGGGUAAAGGCUCACCUAGGCGACGAUCUCUAGCUGGUCUGAGAGGAGGAUCAGCCACACUGGGACUGAGACACGGCCCAGACUCCUACGGGAGGCAGCAGUGGGGAAUAUUGCACAAUGGGCGAAAGCCUGAUGUAGCCAUGCCGCGUGUAUGAAGAAGGCCUUAGGGUUGUAAAGUACUUUCAGCGGGGAGGCGGUACCCGCAGAAGAAGCACCGGCUAACUCCGUGCCAGCAGCCGCGGUAAUUC
rnacentral:rRNA from 1 species